AGCAAUCUGUCUGCCUUGGCCUCCCAAAGUGUUGGGAUUACAGGAUCGCUGGAAGAUGAAAAAGCAUUUUAUUUUUCCUUCCACUCUGCUUUUUCCAGAAGCCGGAAGUAAAGAGAGCUGAGUGCCAGAGGGAAGGGACUUCCUCAACAACGCAGCACCUGCCACUUCCCAACCCUGAACUCCGUGUAUUGUACUGCAUGCAUCAGAAUAUCACCAGCUUCCACAACCAACAAACAGAACCUCACACUAUAAAGCCAAGGAAACCAGUGUAAGAGGAGUUCUUCCUAGCUUCUACCAGAGAAAAGAAAUAUACAUUUUCUUCCACCUGGCUAUCACCUGCUCCAAGUCGUCAAAAUAAACUAAAGAGGAAAAAGAGAGGAAAAUGUAAACAUGAGAGAACUACGAAAGUUCUCAUGAAAUGUGUAGCUCAAAAAAUACACAUAUGCUCAAACUGCUUUCACAGGUGAAAACUACAAGCCAAUUAAUAUCAAUGUAAGUAUUAAGUAUUACUUAUACUUAUUAAGUAUUAAACAUUACUUAUUACUACUUAUACUUAUUAACUAUUAUUACUUAUACUUAUUAAGUAUUAAAUUGGUAAAUUUAAUCGGUAAAUUUUGUUACAAGCCAAAUUAAUACCAAUUUAAUUCCAGUUUAGAGCAGUGGGGUUUCCACAUUAACAUGAAGUAGGAAGACAUGGAUACUGAAAGUUAUGGAAGUUCAGAGUCAUGCUCUCUAUGACUAAGAAACACGACAGAAAUGUCCAAUGAGCCCCCUGAGGAAAUGAUCGUAGAAAAAGGGGACUUUUUAAAAAGUAUGUGAAGAGCUCUUCAACAUGACCACUACGACUGGGAAAUUCUGGCAAGCUGUGUUUACUGAUGCAUAUCUUCUUACUAGUACAGGCUAAUGGCAUUUAGGAAAACAAAUUGGAAGUGAGAAUGAUUCUUUUUCUUUUACAAGAAAGAAAACCAAGAGGCAAGAAUAGGAACAAGCCACCAUUUUUCGGUUCAUUCUUUCUUUGCUAUCUCCAGACCUCUUGGUCUAUUUCUAUGAUGUGCCCAUGAUCAGUCUUUCUGCAACAUGAAGUGUCUCUCCUCAUCCUUUACACCAUCAAGGCUUCCAUGAAAAGCCAGUCCUUUACUUGGGUGACUCACUUUAGGAAGGAAGACCUGCUCUGUCUCUUAUGAGAAAUAAAGGUGAGGCAUCCUUUACUGAGACAGGAAUCUGAGAUAAGAGAGAACAAGACAUCAGGAAUCGAAGGGUUGUUAAAACAGGAAAUGUUGGGACAACUCCUAUUUUGUAGGUAAGAGCAUAAAGUGGUGAAACAUAGGCCAUAACAAAUAUCUCCAGAGUCUCUGCAUCUGGCUUCCCUUUAGAUAACAUACCCUGAAUACUAACUAGUAAGUUCCUAGUCAAGCAGAUGGGUUCUCUUAAAAAGAAGACAAAAUAAAACAAACCAAAGAAAAAAAAAAGACACUGGGGGAGGUAAGAGAAACAUCAUGAUCUGGAGGGUAUUCUCUGAGUCAUCACCCACUAUCCAGUUCUUUCUUUUGAAGGGCCACCAGAUGGAGCAAAUUCCAAUUGCCACUUUAACAUUAUUUUUAAACGGAUGGGAUUGUUGAAACACAACUGCCUCAUUACCUGGUCUUUGAAGUUAUUUUCACUUUUGUAGAGUUUAGCAUAAAAUUUAUCUAUGGAGACCCAGAUACUAUAUACUCUUACAAACCAACCCAUCAAAUCCCUCACAUUUCAGAUUUAAAAAGAAAUAACAGCUUUUGGAAAACAAAAAACAAAAAACAAAAGAAACUCUUCCAUAUAGUGAGGGAAGGAAGGAAAAAUCAUCUCUAGCGUCUUCAUCCAGAAAUAACCACUCAAAAUAUUCUGGUAUAUGCCAUUCUAAUCCUCUCUGGGAGUGUGUGUGUGUGUGUGCAUGCAUGCGUGUGUGUGUGUGUGUUUUCUUAAAAAUGUGAUCCUAUUUUAAAAAUGUAAUCACAUUAUACCCAUUUUUUAACGUAAACUUUCUGAAACUCAACAGACCAUAAUUCUCUUUCUGCGUCAUUUAAUAUGCUCUAUCAAUAUUUUUAAUGGCUUUCUUAUUUUUCUAUCUUGCUUAUCAACUUUCUUGAACCAAGAAUACAUAAAUAUUCAUGCAUAUUUCCGUCAAGUACUUUUAUGGUCUCAAGUUUUACAUUUAAAUUCUGAAUCCAUGUGGAAUUUAUUUUUGUCUAUGAUAUAAAGUAUGGUUCUAAUUUUAGUCAUUCCAAAUGGUGGAAAUCUGUCAUUUUUGGCUCCCCAGGAUUUGGACACCUACUACCUGGGGAGAUGCUAUCGUGCCCUGCCCCCCACCAUAGAAGCUGAAAGUGGGCAGGCUACCCUUUCCCUCAGAGCGAUAAGGAUGCAGGCCCAUGACCUAGGCUCUGUGUUUGAAUCCUGCCUCAGUCUCUGAGUUGAGGGAAUGAUAUAAACACACAGGGACCAUUAGAGUUUAGUUGUGGUGGCAGAGUGGUGGGGUCCAGAGUCCUGAGCAGCAAAAGCAGCACAGUGCCAUCCAAUUCUUGUGACACAAGAAAGGCUGUGUUCCCAGCUCCUUAGCAUCCUUUGGUUCCUGUCCAUCUUCUGAGCUCGGCUUUCCAUUGACUCUGAGCUACCCAACAUUUUCUUCUACCUAAGCCUGCCAGGAUUAACUUCUGUUAUUUUCAACCUAAACCAUUAACUGAUAAAGUUAGUAGGUGUUGAACAUCACAACUUAAUAGGUAAUCUAUUCUUUCCCCACCAAUGAGAAGCACUAUGUGUACUAUAUAUUGCCUUCCUAAUACAUGUACCUAGAUCUCUUUCUAGACUUUUAUU